rnacentral:rRNA from 1 species
UGAGGAAUAUUGGUCAAUGGGCGAGAGCCUGAACCAGCCAAGUAGCGUGCAGGAUGACGGCCCUAUGGGUUGUAAACUGCUUUUAUAUGGGAAUAAAGUGAGGGACGUGUCCCUUAUUGCAUGUACCAUACGAAUAAGGACCGGCUAAUUCCGUUCCAGCAGCCGCGGUAAUACGGAAGGUCCAGGCGUUAUCCGGAUUUAUUGGGUUUAAAGGGAGCGUAGGCUGUUUGUUAAGCGUGUUGUGAAAUGUAGGAGCUCAACUUUUAGAUUGCAGCGCGAACUGGCAGACUUGAGUGCGCACAACGUAGGCGGAAUUCAUGGUGUAGCGGUGAAAUGCUUAGAUAUCAUGAAGAACUCCGAUUGCGAAGGCAGCUUACGGGGGCGCAACUGACGCUGAAGCUCGAAGGUGCGGGUAUCGAACAGG